AACGAACGCUGGCGGCAGGCCUAACACAUGCAAGUCGAACGCCGUAGCAAUACGGAGUGGCAGACGGGUGAGUAACACGUGGGAACGUACCCUUCGGUUCGGGAGUAACUCAGGGAAACUUGAGCUAAUACCGGAUACGUCCGAGAGGAGAAAGAUUUAUUGCCGAGGGAUCGGCCCGCGUCUGAUUAGCUUGUUGGUGAGGUAACGGCUCACCAAGGCGCGAUCAGUAGCUGGCUGAGAGGAUGAUCAGCC
rnacentral:rRNA from 1 species